GGCCCGCACAAGCGGUGGAGUAUGUGGUUUAAUUCGAUGCAACGCGAAGAACCUUACCAGGGUUUGACAUCCUGCGAAUCUCUUGGAAACAGGAGAGUGCCUUCGGGAACGCAGUGACAGGUGGUGCAUGGCUGUCGUCAGCUCGUGUCGUGAGAUGUUGGGUUAAGUCCCGCAACGAGCGCAACCCACGUCUUUAGUUGCCAGCAUUUAGUUGGGCACUCUAGAGAGACUGCCGGUGAUAAACCGGAGAAGGUGUGGAUGACGUCAAGUCAUCAUGCCCCUUACAUCUGGGCUACACACGUACUACAAUGCUACGGACAAAGAGCAGCAAGUUCGCGAGGACAAGCAAAUCUCAUAAACCGUGGCUCAGUUCAGA
rnacentral:rRNA from 1 species